rnacentral:rRNA from 1 species
UACGUAGGGUGCAAGCGUUUGUCCGGAAUUAUUGGGCGUAAAGAGCUCGUAGGCGGUUUGUCGCGUCUGCUGUGAAAACUCGGGGCUUAACCCCGGGCCUGCAGUGGGUACGGGCAGACUAGAGUGCGGUAGGGGAGACUGGAAUUCCUGGUGUAGCGGUGAAAUGCGCAGAUAUCAGGAGGAACACCAGUGGCGAAGGCGGGUCUCUGGGCCGUAACUGACGCUGAGGAGCGAAAGCGUGGGGAGCGAACAGG